GACAGGGGUGGCAAGCGUUGUUCGGAGUGACUGGGCGUAAAGGGUCUGUAGGUGGUUUUCCAAGUCUUUGGUAAAAAGCUGUGGCUCAACCAUAGUGAGGCCAAGGAGACUGGGAGACUCGAGGCUGGGAGAGGGAAGCGGAAUUUCUGGUGUAGCGGUGAAAUGCGUAGAGAUCAGAAAGAAGGCCGGUGGCGAAGGCGGCUUCCUGGAACAGACCUGACACUGAGAGACGAAAGCGUGGGGAGCAAACAGGAUUGGAUACCCUGGUAGUCCACGCCCUAAACGAUGGGUACUAAGUGUGGGGAGCAAUCCCUGUGCCGCAGCUAACGCAAUAAGUACCCCGCCUGGGGAGUACGGCCGCAAGGUUGAAACUCAAAGGAA
rnacentral:rRNA from 1 species